CAUUUCAUGAAUUUGGAAUUUUCGCCUUAUUCUGUGGACUGAUUCGUGAAUUAUAAUCUCGUUUCGUGGUCAUUGAUAAAAAUGUUAUUUAACGUUAACCUUUGAAUACAGCUUUCUUUUGAAAUCUUGACGUGACUUUACAUGAGUAUUUCAUUAAAUUAAUUUAGUCCCCUACGCUGGUUAUUUAAUUUUUGCAUAAUAAAUAUGUUUCGUUUACCUUUUGGAGAAAGGGUUGAUCCUAUGGAAGAAAAACGUCAAGCAAGAGAAAAUACAGUCAAUAGUGUUAUAAGUUUUUGUAUCCUUUGUGCAGCCAUACGUAUUGCACCAAUUAUUAUUGAACAGAGUGGACUAUGAUUAGACAGCUGAAAUGCAACACAAGGAACACUGUAAUAACUAGGAAAUUUAAUAAAAAAGUAGUAAAUUA